GGCAGCAUAGAGAGCUUGCUCUCUGAUGGCGAGUGGCGAACGGGUGAGUAAUAUAUCGGAACGUGCCCAGUAAUGGGGAAUAACUAACUGAAAGGUUAGCUAAUACCGCAUACGACCUACGGGUGAAAGCAGGGGAUCUUAGGACCUUGCGUUAUUGGAGCGGCCGAUAUCUGAUUAGCUUGUUGGUGGGGUAAAAGCCUACCAAGGCAACGAUCAGUAGCUGGUCUGAGAGGACGAUCAGCCACACUGGAACUGAGACACGGUCCAGACUCCUACGGGAGGCAGCAGUGGGGAAUUUUGGACAAUGGGGGAAACCCUGAUCCAGCCAUCCCGCGUGAGUGAAGAAGGCCUUCGGGUUGUAAAGCUCUUUCGAAAGUGAAGAAAACUUAUUUCGUAAUAUGUUAUAAGUAUGACGGUAACUUUAGAAGAAGCACCGGCUAACUACGUGCCAGCAGCCGCGGUAAU
rnacentral:rRNA from 1 species